rnacentral:rRNA from 1 species
UACGAAGGGGGCUAGCGUUGCUCGGAAUUACUGGGCGUAAAGCGCACGUAGGCGGAUUGUUAAGUCGGGGGUGAAAUCCUGGAGCUCAACUCCAGAACUGCCUUCGAUACUGGCGAUCUCGAGUUCGGGAGAGGUGAGUGGAACUGCGAGUGUAGAGGUGAAAUUCGUAGAUAUUCGCAAGAACACCAGUGGCGAAGGCGGCUCACUGGCCCGAUACUGACGCUGAGGUGCGAAAGCGUGGGGAGCAAACAGGAUUGAG